UACGUAGGCAGCAAGCGUUGUUCGGAGUUACUGGGCGUAAAGAGUGCGUAGGUGGUGCCCUAAGUCUGUUGUGAAAUCUCCCGGCUUAACUGGGAGGGUGCGGUGGAAACUGGGGUGCUUGAGUGUGGGAGAGGUAAGCGGAAUUCCUGGUGUAGCGGUGAAAUGCGUAGAUAUCAGGAGGAACACCGGUGGCGAAGGCAGCUCGCUGGGACGUUACUGACGCUGAGACGCGAAAGCGUGGGGAGCAAACAGG
rnacentral:rRNA from 1 species